GACGAACGCUGGCGGCGUGCCUAAUACAUGCAAGUUGAGCGCUGAAGGUUGGUACUUGUCCCAACUGGAUGAGCAGCGAACGGGUGAGUAACGCGUGGGGAAUCUGCCUUUGAGCGGGGGACAACAUUUGGAAACGAAUGCUAAUACCGCAUAAAAACUUUAAACACAAGUUUUAAGUUUGAAAGAUGCAAUUGCAUCACUCAAAGAUGAUCCCGCGUUGUAUUAGCUAGUUGGUGAGGUAAAGGCUCACCAAGGCGAUGAUACAUAGCCGACCUGAGAGGGUGGACGGGCACAAUGGGAAUGGGACACCGCCCAAACUUCUAAGGGGGGGAGCAAGAAGGGAACCUCGGGCAAGGGAGGAAAGCCGACCGGAGCAAGCCGGGGGGGGUAAGGAGGGUUUCCGGUCGGAAAAAUCUGGUUGUAGGGGAGGAAGUUGGGGGGAGUGGAAAGGUCAUCAAGUGACGGUAACUAACCAGAAAGGGACGGCUAACUACGUG
rnacentral:rRNA from 1 species